GAAAGGGAGAGCCGACGGAAAACGGAGAGAAGUGGUAGGGGGAUCAGGCUGAGUUUCGUCGGAUUCCGUUCAGUUUCGUCUGAAUUUCGGAAACUCUCUCUUUUUCUCUAAAUUUUUAAUCGUCGGAAUAAAAAGGAAUACCGGAAAAAUGAAGGGAUCUGGACCUCUUGUCGCUGCUUUGUUCGUUGCUUCCACAGCGGCUCUCUCGUCAUCUUCCUCCGUCGGAAUCCAUAAUGCUUCGUUUCCUCUUACCUCUUCCAAUCAGGGGACAAGGAUCGGUGCGUUGAGUAGUUUAACCGUAUCGGAACGGGAAAAAUUUGCACCACAAUUUGAUGGCCUGAGAUUCAUAGAAACAUUGAUCACAGCUCACAGAUAGGAAAAAAAGGGCCGUCCUUUUCUCGCCGUUUAUUUUUUUUUUCAUUUUUUUAGUUUUUGAAGGUUCCAUUUGCAACCCAAAAACAUUGGUUGAACAUAAUUUAAUCUGUUACAUUAUGAAUGAGAUUUUGAAUUACGGAGUAA